rnacentral:rRNA from 1 species
GAUGAACGCUGGCGGCGUGCCUAAUACAUGCAAGUCGAGCGAACAGACGAGGAGCUUGCUCCUCUGACGUUAGCGGCGGACGGGUGAGUAACACGUGGAUAACCUACCUAUAAGACUGGGAUAACUUCGGGAAACCGGAGCUAAUACCGGAUAAUAUAUUGAACCGCAUUGUUCAAUAGUGAAAGACGGUUUUGCUGUCACUUAUAGAUGGAUCCGCGCCGCAUUAGCUAGUUGGUAAGGUAACGGCUUACCAAGGCAACGAUGCGUAGCCGACAUGAGAGGGUGAUCGGCCACACUGGAACGGAGACACGGUCCAGACUCCUAAGGGAGGCAGCAGUAGGGAAUCUUCCGCAAUGGGCGAAAGCCUGACGGAGCAACGCCGCGUGAGUGAUGAAGGUCUUCGGAUCGUAAAACUCUGUUAUUAGGGAAGAACAAAUGUGUAAGUAACUAUGCACGUCUUGACGGUACCUAAUCAGAAAGCCACGGCUAACUACGUG